rnacentral:rRNA from 1 species
AACGAACGCUGGCGGCAUGCCUAACACAUGCAAGUCGAACGAGACCUUCGGGUCUAGUGGUCCACGGGUGAGUAACGCAUGGGAACCUGCCUUUAGGUUCGGACUAACUCCCCGAAAGGGGUGCUAAUACCGCUUAAUGUCUUUGGACCAAAGCUUUAUCGCCUUUGGAUGGGCCCGCGUUGGAUUAGCUAGUUGGUAGGGUAAAAGCCUACCAAGGCGACGAUCCAUAGCUGGUCUGAGAGGAUGAUCAGCCACACUGGGACUGAGACACGGCCCAGACUCCUACGGGAGGCAGCAGUGGAGAAUAUUGGACAAUGGGCGAAAGCCUGAUCCAGCAAUGCCGCGUGAGUGAUGAAGGCCUUAGGGUUGUAAAGCUCUUUUACCCGGGAUGAUAAUGACAGUACCGAGAGAAUAAGCUCCGGCUAACUCCGUG